rnacentral:rRNA from 1 species
UACGGAGGAUGCAAGCGUUAUCCGGAAUGAUUGGGCGUAAAGCGUCCGCAGGUGGCAAUGUAAGUCUGCUGUCAAAGCGUCUGGCUCAACCAGAUAAAGGCAGUGGAAACUACAUAGCUAGAGUAAGGUAGGGGUAGAGGGAAUUCCCAGUGUAGCGGUGAAAUGCGUAGAGAUUGGGAAGAACAUCAGUGGCGAAAGCGCUCUACUGGACCUUAUCUGACAUUGAGGGACGAAAGCUAGGGGAGCGAAUGGG